CCUACGGGGGGCUGCAGUGGGGAAUAUUGGACAAUGGGCGAAAGCCUGAUCCAGCCAUGCCGCGUGUGUGAAGAAGGCCUUCGGGUUGUAAAGCACUUUCAGUGGGGAAGAAAGCCUUGGGGCUAAUACCCUCGAGGAAGGACAUCACCCACAGAAGAAGCACCGGCUAACUCCGUGCCAGCAGCCGCGGUAAUACGGAGGGUGCGUGCGUUAAUCGGAAUUACUGGGCGUAAAGCGCGCGUAGGCGGUCUGAUAAGCCGGUUGUGAAAGCCCCGGGCUCAACCUGGGAACGGCAUCCGGAACUGUCAGGCUAGAGUGCAGGAGAGGAAGGUAGAAUUCCCGGUGUAGCGGUGAAAUGCGUAGAGAUCGGGAGGAAUACCAGUGGCGAAGGCGGCCUUCUGGACUGACACUGACGCUGAGGUGCGAAAGCGUGGGUAGCAAACAGGAUUAGAUACCCCGGUAGUC
rnacentral:rRNA from 1 species